rnacentral:lncRNA from 1 species
GGAUGAUGUAUCAUAAAACUGACCCAGGGAGCUUAAAGGACCCUGAUGUUCUUAAUGGUUAUGAGACCAUCAAGCUUCCAUUACUUGGAGGAAUCCAGAGAAGGGAUUUUUCCACCAUCAUGAAGUGGGAUGCUCAGAGCAAAUGGGAAAUGGGUUAGGUUCCCUUGGGCUCUACCUUCACUCUCUGGGAAUCAUGGGUACACUGGGCUCCAUUACCAGGCUCUUCCAGAACACCAUGCCGAGAGGUCUAUCAUCCACCCUGUGACUCACGGAGCUAGAGAAGCCUCUGAAGGUCCCCCUAGGGGAGGAAGGAGUACAGAAAGACUGACAGGGCAUGGGGUAGAGAAUGCAGAAUCCUUGAGGAAAUAGCCUGACAGCCAGGAGACCUGGUUUGUAUUCUCACUUCUGCCAGUGAUUUGAUGCAUGUCCUUAAACUGGACAGUAUCUCUCUGGGCCUCAGUUCUUCACCUGUAACACAAGGAGAUGACCCCAAGAUUUUUCUUGGCUGUGGGUCAUAUUAUCAGCCACUGAAGUUAGAAAGAAGUCAGAGCAAGGAAAAGGCUUAGUGAGUAGGGACCAGAAUUAAAGAGCUGACACGGAAGAUGUUCUGUGCAUGAGAAAACACACUCACACAGUCACCCACACAUACACACAGGGCUGUGAUUCUCCCAGGUGGUUCCAGAUAGAGGCUCCUCCACAGCCUAGACUUGGCGCCUCUAGUCACCAAGGAUGCACAGUAACUAAGUUGUAGGUUUUUCUCUGACUGUGAAGAGAACAACCUGGAGAGGUCACCUGCACGAGGUUCUUUGCAGAAGACAGAGCCAGGACACAUUGGGCAGGGUGCCCCCUCACACACAGGGGUCACCCUGCAAGCCCAGUCUUAGACCAGAGCUGGACAAGGCAUCAAGGCAAGGAGAGCCCCCUGCAGAGAGGACAGAAGAAACCUU